rnacentral:lncRNA from 1 species
CCAUUGUGGUUCAGCAGGUUAAGAACCCGACUAGUAUCCAUGAGGAUGUAGGUUUGAUCCCUGGCCUCACUCAGUGGGUUAAGGAUCCAGCAUUGCUGUGGGCUGUGGUGUAGGUCGAAGAUGUGGACUGAGAUCCAGUGUGGCUGUAGGCCAACAGCUGCAGCUCUUGUUCGACUCCUAGCCCGGCAACAUCCAUAUGCCACAGGUGUGGCCUUUAAAAAAAAAAAAGGCAUAUUUAUUUAAUUCAGAAUUCUGUCUCAAAAGCUUUAUAAUUUCCAUGGCCUUCAAAGUAGGCAAAAUGGCAAGGAUAUUUCAGAGUAUGUUAAUGGCAUGACCCUCUGCUUUCAUUCUUUCGAUGUCUUCUUGUGGGGCUUGGCUUAACCCACAUUUUAUUUGUUCAUAGUUUAUGCAUUCCUUGUGAAAUAAAAAAACUACGGAACAUAGUUAAAAUAAGAAAGGGAGACUUCAUUCAAGACUAUUGCAGUUGUCAACUCUGCUGAAACAGAAGAUGAGAGGUUUUUAAGCACCGGGGGUGAGCUAGCAGAAAAGUUCUGGAGGAUAUUAUGGAGACGUGGAUCAGUGGGAUGUAUGGAGCAUGUAGUGUAAUUCUUGAGUCUGCAGAUGUUUUCCUCUGUGAUUGGACUAUCUGUGUUUGUUCAUUGAUGGUACCCUGCUACAGAGGUUGAGAGAUAGAGGCACUGUCCCUUCGCUCCUAGGGCCUUAAGAAAGACAUUCCUCAGUUGGAAAGUUGGAAAGAGUCUUUAAAAGGAUUUAUAUCUCAAAGGGGCAGAGAAAGAAUUUACAAUUUAAAGUUUUUUUCUAAGGAAAUCUGUUAAGAUUCCGGGGGCCUAGAGUCGGGAACAAACCUGUCUAAAUUUAGGCAAAGCUGAGGGGAACAUCAAGGUCUUGGUCUACCUUUUAUUUAAAUAUUACUCAUUAUUGGGAGCUUUUUAGUGGGACAAGCAUAUUGUUCUUUAAUUUCCAAAUGUAUGAAACUGACACAGAUGCCAACCCAACAAAGGAUACAUGCUUUUCAAAAUGAUUUAUUGAACAAAAGCUGAAGAAGUAAAAAUGAACACAUUUAGAGAUAAGAGAGUUAAAAAAAGAAAAAUUUCUAGAUUGGUCUCAUUUCUGAAGUACGAUGAUAGUCAACUCUCGAGGCAAUAUUGGCAAAAGUUAAGGUGAGAAACAUAGUAUUUAGGUAGAGUAUUACCUCGAAAAAAAGGUUGAGAAAUAUAAAAUUAAUUCCUAUUGUCCUAUAAAUAUCACCUAUUUGAUUUAAAAUCGCUAGUUUCUAUUUCUAAAGUGAAAUGGGUCAUUCUAAUGGGCUGUUCUACAUGGCUCACCUGCCCCUGCUCCCAGCACCACUCUUCUUAUUUUCCUGACAGCUCAUAAUUCUAUUUUAGAGUAAAACAUAUCUAGUUAGACGUUUUAUGUUUAGAGUAAAGUAUAGGGAACUAACUAGCUGUGUUUAAGGCCUAAACCAUCAUUACUACUACAUAGAAUGUUUUUAUCUAUGUUUUGUUAAAAAAAAAAAACCUUUAUAAAAUGUUGAUAGAUUAACAUUCCAGCAAUCUUUUCUCUGAAAUAGUCCCAGAUCUGCUCCUUCUAUUUUAAGAAUUUUAUAUCAUGGUGCCGUAAUCCAGACUAGUUUUUUGUUAUAUUGUAUCUUUAUGACUACAAAUUUUCUAUAUUUUCUUCUCCAAGGACUUUCUUUCUUAAUAGUAGUAUUAUGCUCUCAUUUCUAUCAGAACUUAAUGGAGGUUUCACUUUUUCUCAGUCAAGUACAAGUGCUUAUGGUUUCUUAACUGUGAUAUUCAUUCUCAUGUUUGAGCUUAUAUAUCUGCCAAUUUACCUUUCUGAAAUACUGUCUUUUUUUUUUUACACCCUUAACCUCAUCAGACUCCUCACUUCCCUCAAAUAUUUUAUGAGAAGUAUAUAUAGUAUCUAGAAUGGCAGAGCUCAGUAACCUUUAUUUUGAAAAAUAAGCCAAGUGAUUGUGAUUCAGCUGUCUACUAAAAUAUCUUCAAGGAUCACUAUUCUAGAAUUCUAAGCUUUCUUACUUUUGGCUAAGUAUUAGAGCAUUGGGAUUCAAGCCCUGGCUUUACCACCAUGUGUUCUGAAUUUGAGCAAAUCCCACAACUCUGUAUCCUAUUUGUAAAAUGGGAGAAUAUCUGCUUUUUUUUUAUAGAAUUGCAAAGAGUUGGGGCAGAUCAAGAGUAACGAGCCAUAACAUAAGCUAUUUAGAAAUAUAUAGAACACUACUGAAUUUCUUCAUUUCGUUAUUUGCAUGCAGUAAUUUACCUGUUACCAGGUGCUUGAGACAUGCUGCUAUAUUGCUUUUACAGUGUAAAAGGAGGGUUCUCGCCAGUUGUAGGUGAAUUUUCUGUGGUUGUGGUAACAGAUGGUGCUUCUGUGCCACCGUCAGCAGCAGUAGUGGUUUCAGUGGAGGCUGUAUUGAUGGCCACUGUAGUUGUAGGACCAGAGGUUGCUACUGGGGCAGUGGUGAUAGCAUCAGUUUCAGAUGUGUUGGUUGUGGUUCCUGCUGUGAUGGCUGUGGCAGUAGAGGUUCCUUCAGGAGGUGGAGUGGUAGUAUCUGUUGCAGCUGUGGAAACUACAGAAGGUUCUGUGGACUCUGCAGGAGUUGUGGUAGCUGCCAUACUUGUGGCAGGAAGAGUAGUAGCAUCUGCUGAGUCAGUAGUGACCUCACCAUCAGUGGCAGUUAUUUCAGCUUCUGUGAUGGAAAGUGAUAGAGUUGUAGUGGGAACUUCAGUGGUAGUGUCAUAUGCAAAUUGAGUAGUUUCCUCAUUCUCUAGAGUUGUAGCUUCAGUGGUUGAAAUAUCUGGUUCAUCAGUAGAGGCAAUAGUAACUGGGGUGGUAUUGGCAGUGGCAAUACCUGGUACACUUGUACCGGCAAUAGUUGCGGCUCCUGAGAUUGAUGGUGUGGUCACAAUACUUGUGGAAGCUGCUGUUGUUCCAGUGCUGGCUGCUAUGGGGACUGUGGUUGCAGCUGAAGCGCUGUUGCUGUAGUAGAUACAGAUGUGGUGGCAUCAGGAGAUGUGGUACUAGUGACUCUAGGUAUAGUAGUAGCACUUGUGGUGGCAUCAACCCCUGGAGUUGUGGAGGCUGAAGUAGUUAUGGUGGCAGCUCCCUCAGAUAUUCUAGUUGUAGCUGAAACAGUUGUACUUACAACUGGAGAUGUAGAGUCUAAUGGGGCUGUGGCAUUAGCAGGUCCAGUUGUGGUAGCUUCAGUGGUUGUGUCAUCUGCUGGCCCAGUGGUAGACUUUUCCCCUGGACUUGUAGCUACAGAAGCCUGGGUGGUAGUUUCACUCAGAGUAGUCAAUACACCAAGUUCAGUAGGAAACACUGAAGUAACAGGAGCCGAAGUGUCAGCACCUGCUACAGUUGUGCCAGGAACAGCAGUUGUAAUAGAAGUAACAGGAGCUGAAGUGUCAGCACCUGCUACAGUUGUACCAGGAGCUGCAGCUGUAAUACCAAUGGCUGAGGUUGUGACCACACCACUGGUAGUCGUGUCUAGCUUUAGGGUUGAAGAGGCUGCUGUUGUUGUGGUGAUUGUUCCCAGAGGUGUUGGGGUUGAGGAUCCAGUGGUUGUAGUAGCAGUGGAUGUGAGGUCUGUUUCCAAGGUUGUGGAGCCCAUUGCACCAGUUGUGACCUCAUUAGGUAAACUUGUUGUAGAAGCUACAGUUGUGUCAUCAGCUGAUUCUGUGGUUUCCUCAUCCACUGGAGUGGUAACUUCAGUGGUUGUGUCCAUCACUUGUUCAAUGGUAGUCUCAUCAGCUUCAGUGGUUGUGUUGACCACUGGUUCAGUGGUAGUCUCAUCAGCUUCAGUGGUUGUGUUGACAACUGGUUCAGUGGUAGUCUCAUCAGCUUCAGUGGUUGUGUCGACCACUGGUUCAGUGGUAGUCUCAUCCACUGGUGUGAUAACAGAAAUUGAUGUAGCUGUGGUGGUAGGACCAGGUGCACUGGUGGUUAUAGAACUUGGCACAUCUGUGGAUGUGGCUCCAGGUGCAACUGUGGUUGUGACAGAACCAGAAGCUGUGCUAGCAGUUCCAGGUAUUUUUGUGGUAGCAGAAGCAAGAGUUGUGGCAGCACUGGCUGAUGGUGAGGUAGCACCAGCACUGGUGGCACCAAUCCCUACAUUUGUGGUUACAACACCUGUGGAGGUUGUGGCUGCAGCAGUGGUGGCAGCCAUAGCAGAGGAUGUGGUACCUAGGUUUGCUGAAGUUGUAGAGGCAACCUGAAUGGUGGAAUCAACUGUAGAUGGAAAAGUGUUGUCAUUUGCUGUAUUUGCUUCAGUUUCUGAGUUCUCUAUGGUAAAAUUAGGUGCAAUAGUGUAGGCAGAGGUUAAGAGGGUUGUAGAGCCAGCUUCUGGGUUUAUGGAGGUUGUAGAGCUGGAAGCAGUAGAUUCUUGUGAUGUAGAUUCUACUGAAGGUGCCACUGAUGUCACAGAUGCAGUUGUAGUGGAGACAGCACCUAUUGCUGAGUUAAUGGUUGAUGUCACUCGGACAGUGGUAGCAGCCAUUGAAGACAGAGUUUCAGGUGUCCUGGUGACUGCAUCUGAUCCCUUGGUUGCAGUAAUUGGGCCUUUAGUUGUAAUCCUUUCAGGCCCUGCAGGUCUUGUUGGAGGUUUUGGCUUAUGACAGGGUGGCUUAUGAGGCAAAUGAGGUUGGUGUGCCUGGGGAUGUGGGGCACUUGGCCAAGGUCUUGGUGGAGGUGGAUAGGCUGGAUGAACCUUCAGUGGGCACUUAUGUGGUCGAUUCGGUUGUGGGUUGUGGGCGAGGACGUUUAGUAUGAUGAGAUUUAGAUGGAGGAGGUGGUUUUCUGACUUUAUGUGGACGUUUUUUCCGUGCAACUUGAACUGAUUUAGAUCCUUUUAGUUUAGAUGCCUUCAACCUUUUUUUGACAGGUGGAGAUUUCCCUUUUUUAGAUUGUUUUACAAUUUUGCCUGCUAAGGGAGGUGGUCUUUUUAUGCCUUGAAGGGAUUUAGGCUGAGGUGCGCCUUUUUUAAGAGGUUUAGAUGGUAUCUUUUCGGAUUUACUAGGCUCUUUCUUUGCUGUUAGAGUUUUGGACUGUCUUUUUUUAGGUGAUUUUGUAGAUUUACUCUUUGUAAGAACUUUUUUUGCAGUUCUUUUACUUGCCAUGAGCUGUUUCUCUGUAGGUGUUUUUUGAAUUUUCUUCUUAGCGAGAGAUCUUUCCGGUCCUGCUUGAGUAGACUUAGACAGACCUUUGGCAGCAGGUUUAGGUUUUUUUAGUUUUUUCUUUUUGGCCACAGUUUUUUUGAGAGCUGGAGGUUUGCCCUCUUUUGCUUGAUUUGAAUGCUUCCUAGCUGUUUUAGACAAGGAGCUUUUAGAUUUAUUUGGUCUCUUCUUUGAGGAUGGUGGUGUUCUUAGUACUGGUUUACGUGUUGUAGGGUGAUUCACUUGUUUCUUGGUAGGUGCAGUAAAAGUUUUUUUGGCUAUAGGGGUCUUCCUUUUUGUUGAAACAUCUUUUGGCUGAUUGAGCUUUAUCUUGGCAGAUGUAGGUGCUUUAGAUUUAGUUAGAUUUUUUCUUUUGGUUUUAGAAGCUGCUAUUGUUCCUGUUGUCUUAGCUGACCUUUUUUGGACUGGAGUUAACUGUUUAUUUUUUUGUUUCUUCAGAGUAUUCUUUUUGGCUACACUUUUUGGGGGGAUGGUUUUAACUGCUUUUGCCUGCUUCUGGUUUUUCUUGGUGGAUGAAGACAGAGUUUUAUGAGAUUUGGUUGGUAUUUUUCUGGAAGUUGAAGAAGUUUUGGGGGAAUCUUUUAUUGCCGUGGACUUAGAUGAUUGUACUUUGGGUAAUACAGACAAAGCUUUAGAUUUCUUCUUAGGUAAAGAUGUUUUUGGAACUGUUCUACUUGCUGGUUGUUUUAACUGUUUCUUAGCAGGUGUAGACUGGAUUUUCUUGGAUUUUUGUGGACUUUUCUUUUUAGCUGAAGUUCUUUUUGAAGCUGCCUUAGCUGUUCUUGACAAAUUCAACUGCUUCUUACCGGAGGUGGACAGGGAUUUCUCAGAUACAUUUAGACUUUUCUUUAUGGGUGAAGAUGAUUUUGGUGUUGCUGCAGUCCAUUUUGACUGUUUCUUGGCAGUUGUCUUUUGACCUUUUUUUGGCUGUUUCAGAGUUCUGCUGGCCUUCAGUGGAACAUUUCUUCCUGUUAGACUAGAGGAAUGAGGAGUCAGCCCUCCCUUGGCAGAGGUCAAUGUACUUUGUUUAGGCUUGACUUGUAGAUUUUGUCUUUGUGAUGGCUUUUUCUUUUUACUUGAUGGCCUUGGAUUUGAAGAUAAUUGGCUAGUUGCUUUUUUAGUCAGCACAGGUGUGACAGAGGCACGAGAAGAGGUUUGAGGUUUCCUAAUGAUCUGGGUGGAUGAAGAUCGGCUUUGCAAUAUCCUGACAGGGGAACUCUGCACUGGUCGACUCUUGACUGUCUUUCCUGUUGCCCGGCGCCGUGGUUGCUGACUCUCACUGACCUGUGGGGUAAAGAAUAGGGGAUAUUACCAAAUGAAACAGUCAGUCAGUUAUUGUCUUGUAGUCUCAUUUUAGUUUCAGUAACUUGUCUGCUCUUUAGGUUUAGGAGGUGCUUUGGUUUUGAAUGUUAGAAAAAUUUAGAAUAAAUUGCACUAUACAUUUAUUUAUUUAUUUUUCUUCUUUUUGUUUUUUAAUGGCCACACCUGUGGCAUAUAGAAUUUCCAAGGCUAGGAGUCAAAUUGGAGCUGCAGCUUCAGGCUUAUGCCACAGCCAUCUGAGCCUCAUCUGCGACCUAUGCCACAGCUUGUGGCAAGGUCAGAUUCUUAACCCACUGAUCCACAAUGGGAACUCCUGCACUAUAAGUUUAAAUAAAAAGGUAUAAUAUGUGUAUGAUUAGAGAAAGUACUUGGGUAUUACUUUCAAUGCUUACUGUAUUUACUUAGAAAAUCCAGCAAAAUAGAGAAAUGUAAUUUGGGGAAAUCCAAUGAGUUUGUUUGUAAAUCAAUGAAAACCUGUUUUUCCCUUAAAAACUGCAGAGUAAAACUCACUGUCAUGUCCUCUAGGAAUUAAUGAAAAAUCACAUAGGCAAGCAUGUUUCAUGAAUCUCAGUGAAAGCUUUACAACUAAACCCUAGUUAAGAAAUUAUUUAAAGAAGUAUUUUCUGUUGAGUUCAGAAAGUUAGAUAUUUAAAAAUGUGACAAAAAGCUGUUCUUCUUGCCUAUAAAAUUUUUGUCUGAGGCACUGAAUGCUGUGGGAAGAAUUUUAUAAGGAAAUAAUAGUGAUGGUAGAAAAGUAAGGGAUUCUUGGAACAGAGUGUUGUUGGUUAAAUAGAAUUGAACAGAUACUGAAGAGCACAUGCAGUUCUAAAAAUAGUGGAUACUAUGCUCUCUGAUCAAAGAGAGAUGUAAGGAAUUAGUGAAUAGCACAUAAUUACAUUAGGAGAGCAGAAGGAGGUCUUUCCCUCCCUCAAGAGAUAUAAAAGGAAAAAACAAAAGGCCAUAAAAGUCAAUAGACUCAGGCUCUUGUACAUUAAAAACCUAUUUUCAAAUAAGAUGUUUUAGAUAAUUCAAAUAUGUGUACUAUAAAAAUUUCUAUUUUAGAUGUCAGUAGAGGAGACCAUCCUGCAAUCUUCCUUUUCAUUGUAGUUAUGUCUUACAUGGGAGAACAUAUUACAGGUUGUUUUUUUUUUUUUUUGGCCUGGUCCACUGCAUAUGUAAGUUCCUGGACCAGGGAAUGAGGGAUUGAAUUCAUACCACAACAGCGACCCCGGGUACUGCAGUGACAAUGCAAGAUCCUUGUUGCUACAAGAGAACUCCAUGGAUUUUGAUCAUGAGAAUGUAAUAAUAGACCCAGAGAAUAAAUGAAAAUUAAGCUUGAGGGAUGAAUGAACUCACCCUUAUUUUUCACCUUUAGAAGGGAAGCUCUUUAAAAGUUGGUGCUGAAUGUAUAUGGACAUUAAAGAGAAAUGGAAGUCUUGGUGAUUUCUUUGCAAGUCUAGUUCUAUUCCUCCAAAUGCAUUUGGAGAUUUUUUUCAUACUUAAUCCUCCUCAACUAAUGGUCACUCCUUCGUCUGCACUCUCUCCCUCUUUCUUCUCUUUCUUUUCCCCUUCCAUGUUUGCCUUUGCUUUGCCCCUUCUCCUCACAUUCUAGGUGAUUUUAAAUAGAUGUAUUUUCAUGGAUGUUAGGGGUAGAAGGUAAUUUUUCCUGUUUUAUCUCAUGUGACUCUGUUCUAUUUUUAAAAUGCAAUGCCAGAGUUCCUGCUGUGGUGCAACAGGUUAAGGAUCCGGUGUUGUCUCUGCGGUGGUCCAGUUUGAUCCUCAGUCUGGCACAGUGGAUCGAGGAUUCAGCAUUGCCACAGCUGCGACAUAAGUCAGAGCUAGGGCUUAGACAAUCCCUGGUCUAGGAAUUGCCAUAUGCUGCAGAUGC